rnacentral:rRNA from 1 species
AGUAACGACUAACUAUGUGCCAGCAGUCGCGGUAAUACAUAGGUUGCAAGCGUUAUCCGGAUUUAUUGGGCGUAAAACAAGCGCAGGCGGAUUAGAAAGUCUGGUGUUAAAAUCAACUGCUUAACGGUUGAAUGCAUUGGAAACUUCUAGUCUAGAGUGUGGUAGAGAGUUCUGGAACUCCAUGUGGAGCGGUGGAAUGCGUAGAUAUAUGGAAGAACACCAGUUGCGAAGGCGAGAACUUUGGCCAUUACUGACGCUUAGGCUUGAAAGUGUGGGGAGCAAAUA